CUGCAAUUGAGGUGUCCCGGGUUCGACUCCCGGACUGGCUGCACACUUUUCAUCAACCGGCGACACACGGAUUAUAUUUGCCUCCGGUGUUUGUUAACCUCCCUGCGGUUACUUUACCGUCAAUAGCCGAGUCAGUGACGUCUAAAACAUUGCUAUAUACUCUCACAGUAUCGGACCUAGGCGUUUCACCAUGUUACUUGAGCGAUACUGCGCUUGCCGCGGGAAUUCUACCCUUAGAGCAAAGUACUGUGACACCACCAAAUACGCAGUACCUGGUGUACGCCCACAAUCCAGGCGGAUUCGAUUUCGAAGGAAGUUACAGAGCCGUGAACGUCGAGAUCACGUGCGGCGACUCCGUGUCCACCGUCAAAGAGACGCUGAUUUUGAACAUAAUCAAUACGGUACGUCAAGGGCCUCUUAUCCAUCGCUCCAGACACAAAGGAAUGUAAAUGUUAAAUGUU